rnacentral:snoRNA from 1 species
AUCCCAUGAUGAGUACACUUACGAAGUAACUCCUUGAAUCGCUCCCAAGCCUCAUACAAAGACUCGUCAUCCAAUUGUUGGAAAUUUGUGAUCUCAGUCCUCAACUU